AGAAUCAACGCUGGCGGCGUGCCUAACACAUGCAAGUCGAACGCGGUUACCCCGCAAGGGGUGACUGAGUGGCAAACGGGUGAGUAACGCGUGGGUGACCUACCUUCGAGUGGGGGAUAACGUUUCGAAAGGAACGCUAAUACCGCAUGACAUCCUGCCUUUGGACAGGCGGAGAUCAAAGCCGGGGAUCGCAAGACCUGGCGCUUAAAAGAGGGGCCCGCGUCCGAUUAGCUAGUUGGUGGGGUAACGGCUCACCAAGGCGACGAUCGGUAGCCGGCCUGAGAGGGCGACGGCCAACGACUGGGACUGAGACACGGCCCAGACUCCACGGGAGCAGCAGUGGGAAUUGUCGCAAUGGGCGCAAGCCUUGACGACGCAACGCCGCGUGAGGAUGAAGGCUUCGGAUUGAAAACUCCUGUUGAUCGGACGAACAACCAUCGGAUAACACCCCGAGGUCUGACGUACCGAUUGAGGAAGCCCGGCUAACUCUGUGCCAGCAGCCGCGGUAAA
rnacentral:rRNA from 1 species